rnacentral:misc_RNA from 1 species
GAAACCUUUAAUGCUCAUCCAGUGAGGUGAGCAAGGAGUUGAUCAUGUGUGAUGUUCCGGCGCACGUUCGUUCCAGUCGACCUUCUCACUCUUGUGGUGGGGAGGUUUUUUUAU